CAGCCAUACAAUAUGAAGACACACUGUUUCAUCAUAGUAGACCUACAGUAUGUAGGAUAGUUUGCAAGGUUACAUUUUAAUGAUUUUAAUUUGCUUUGCUUUCAGGCAAUGGUUCUGGGCACUUUGGCGGAGCACUCACUGCCAUUCAUAAUGGCCCCUGUCAUCGUCAACCUUGCUCGGAUGCUGGCCGAGGACAAAGUGGCUCCAAGUCGCAUGAAGCUGUCGCGAACAUCAGCACAAUAUAAAAUGGUUCACGGCCUGGGGAAGACAUUCUCGGACCGCAUCCUCAGCAACACUGGGAAGUUACCAUUCUCUGUCAAUCUUGAUGAGGCCACCUGAAGGAGUGAUAAAAAGCGGGCUUACCUCCAAGAGAUCUGUGAAUACAUGAGCAUUCCUGGAUCAACUCCAUAGAGAUUCGGUGAGCAUCGUUGGCUGUCAUGUUAUGAUGUUGGACUCAGCACUCAGACCAUGCUUCCUAAUCACAAGGUCCUGUACUUUGGGUUCAUGGAUAAAGAAGACAAGGCUCUCUACAAAGAACCUUGGGAACAACUUUAUGCUGCUCACCAUGGGAGUGAAAAGGCCCAGAGUUGCAUUCAGUCUUUUCACAAGGACAUCAGCGGGAAAGGAAUGACACAGCAGGGCAGAGACCGAAAGCAGCGGUUGGUCAAGAAACUGUGGCAUGAAGACACCAAAACAGAGCUCCAUCUCAGUGUCUACUAGGGCUGUCACCUUUUAUUCGAAGUUCGAAUAUUCGUUCGAAGGCGGGGUGAAAAGUUCGAAUUCGAAGUAGUCGUGACACCCUUGUGCACAAGUUGCAUGACAAGCAGCUGCAGGUUUUCACCAACUUCCUUGCAUGCUUUGUGAAGCCAGAAAACCUGCCACCAAUCCCCAGGAUCCUAGCAGGUCUCGAACUCAAGGGAGACAAACUGCUGCCUGCAAGAGACCUGUAUGUGUGUCGAGUGGCAGAUAGAUUCAGACGGGAGCAUCCUCAACACCAUGUGAGUGGUUUAAAAUGAGUUACCGGACUUUUGGACCAAAGCCAUUUUAUUGCCAAUGAUAAAGGAGCACAACUAUACCAGUGUGUUAUUGUUAAUAUUUAUACAGCUGCUGAAGCCCUUCCUGGACCAAGGCAUACAUCACAUGUGGGGAAUACCUGCAGAGCAAGCUGCCACAGGAGAGCAUGACCCUGCAGUGCCUGUCUGCUGUUGACCCUAUUGCAAGGGGGCACUCCAAGACUGGACGUCUGCUGAGACGACUUGCGGAGAUGUUUACCCAGUUUCUCCCUGCUGAUGGGGAUGUUCAGCAAGAGGUUCUCCAGUAUGGCGUAGACCAGAGCCUGCAAACUUUCAGAGAAGGAGAUGAUGCUGUCAGCUGGUGGGCAGCUGUCUUUGAAACGGGAAGGUACCCAGGGCUCAGCAUGGCAGUAAAGGCAGCAUUGUCGGUGUUCCAUGGGCCAACGGUGGAGUCCUCAUUCAGUCUUAUGUCUGAAAUCAUAGACUCGAAAAGUGGCAGCAUGAACAUUUCCACUCUGAGUGCCAUGCAAACUGUCGAACACACCUUGCUGCAUGGCUGAUCUCUUCUUUCAUCGCUGUACUUUCUUACGGAGGCUAAUUCCCGCUCGGCUACCUAAGCAGUAAGGUCUACAGUGGUUUACUGUGAUGUAAAGCAGCCAGGGGCAUCGUUAGACUUCAGAAAGUGGCUUAUUGCUUUUAUAAACGGUUACGGAAACGGUUUACAAUAGACUACCUGGUAAGAUUUCACAAAAUAAACUCAUUCUGUUAGUUUGUUUCUCUUAAUGUACUUAAAUAUCUAAUAUGUAGUAAAAAGCGGGUUUUGAUAAAUCGGUUAGUCGCUUUUAAGGGCACCGGCGGGGGUCAACUAGGUGUCAAAUAGGGGUCAGCUAGGGGUCAAGGGGAAGUGGCUCUCUGUGUUUCUGUUUUCUGUUUCUCUCGGUGAGGCCCCUAAACACCGAUUGGACCGUCUUUAUUCCAGCUGAUCACAUGCUGGCCUCGUUCCACUUUAACAGCCGCUAAUCCGUUAAGGAGCUGCGACUGGACCGCGGCCGUGGCCAUUCCCGCCUGGUUCCGUCUCGUUGUGAUUCUGGCUGUGACCUUGUUUGUUGGGGGGGAGGGACAUUCCCCCCCCCCCCACUCAACACCUUCCCCCUGUCCCUCCCCCUCCCCCCUCGUCUGUAGGAAGGCGAGGCAGCCAUGGUGAUUGAUGGGUGUGAUGUGUCAGAAGAGCUCUGGGAGCCCACCUUCUCCUCCACGGUCUCGCUUGCUUCUGAGCUCCCGCUCUACACCUACCCCGCCAGCGAGCCCAGCAGCCAGAGUCGUGACACCCUUGUGCACAAGUUGCAUGACAAGCAGCUGCAGGUUUUCACCAACUUCCUUGCAUGCUUUGUGAAGCCAGAAAACCUGCCACCAAUCCCCAGGAUCCUAGCAGGUCUCGAACUCAAGGGAGACAAACUGCUGCCUGCAAGAGACCUGUAUGUGUGUCGAGUGGCAGAUAGAUUCAGACGGGAGCAUCCUCAACACCAUCUGCUGAAGCCCUUCCUGGACCAAGGCAUACAUCACAUGUGGGGAAUACCUGCAGAGCAAGCUGCCACAGGAGAGCGUGACCCUGCAGUGCCCGUCUGCUGUUGACCCUAUUGCAAGGGGGCACUCCAAGACUGGACGUCUGCUGAGACGACUUGCGGAGAUGUUUACCCAGUUUCUCCCUGCUGAUGGGGAUGUUCAGCAAGAGGUUCUCCAGUAUGGCGUAGACCAGAGCCUGCAAACUUUCAGAGAAGGAGAUGAUGCUGUCAGCUGGUGGGCAGCUGUCUUUGAAACGGGAAGACUCGAAAAGUGGCAGCAUGAACAUUUCCACUCUGAGUGCCAUGCAAACUGUCGAACACACCUUGCUGACCCGGAAGCAGACUGCAGUGGAGAUGUUCAAAAGAGAAGACCUUAAGUUAAUAAAGAGUUUGCAGGUCUGCAGAAGGGCCCCCGUGUACACCCGGAAAUUGUUGACAUAGCCUGUCUUGCUCUCCGCCAUCACCCACACCUUUACUCCCCACUUCACCGGCUUCAUGGGGAGGUACUGCCGGAAGGCCAGGCAUCCCUUGAACUUGACCAUGGACUCAUCCACGGUCACAAAGCCAUUGACCUCAUAGAGAUCCUGGAAUCUGACGAGGAGGUCCAUGAAUCCCUUAAGCUUCAAGGGAUCCCGCAUUUCCAUUACCUUGUACACGUCCCGCAAAUUGAGACGUUGUCCCGCAUUGUUAUUAGGGCUGGCCCGAAUUAUUCGAAUAUUCAAAUACUCGUUGGGAAAAUUAGUAUUCAAAGCUUAAAUGAGUAUUCGGGAGCUUCGUUGUUUCACGUAGGGCCUACGUGACGUUACCAGAGCGAGGGAGGCAAACUAUAAGCGACACUAAGCAGAGAAGCGAGAGAGGUGGAGGAAGAAUAGAUAUCUUGUUUCCCUUUACUUUAUAACAACAUUAGCGGGAUCUCGGGAGGAAAAUACAUGCUUAGUGAAAUGCUAACCUAAGCUUAGUUGUUUGUUUACGUUCGCCGUACAGCGCCGCGCAAAUCAACUGUGACUGGCUUGCUGCAGAGUGUGAGCGUCUUGCAAAUACCCGGUCAAUAUAAUGGAUAUAAUAUGGACACAUAAGACAAUCAAUAUUCGUUAUUUGCUAUGGAAUUAUUGUACAAAUUCCCUGAAAAGAUGCACGUUCCAGAAUGAAUUGAAAAGCUCCCCCUAAGGGCUGAGAUGGCAGAGGACAGCUGAUUUUGUACGGAACAACAGCUGUUCGCUUCCACGGGGAAAAACUAAGUAAAUCCAACUUACUUAGGCCUACUAAUUGAUGUUCAAAAGCUAUUAAAUCUUCAACAAAAUAUGCAGAUGCUGUCAAAAUUGGUUCCAGGGAGUAUAUAGUGAUUAUUAAUGUUGUUUUUGAUGGUGUGUUUUUCUGGAAUGAGUAUUCGAAUUUUCGCUCGGAAAAACCAACGAGUAAUCGAAGCCAAAAA
ensembl:lncRNA